rnacentral:rRNA from 1 species
CCCUCCUAUACUUAGAUGAAAUUUGGUUUUGCUAGAACAGUAGUAGAUUAUAUUCUUAAAAUUUAAAAAAUUUGGCGGUACUUUAAUCUAGUUAGAGGAACCUGUUUUUUUAAAACGAUAAACCACGAAGUAUCUUACUUGUUUUAAGCUUGUAUACCGUCAUUGUCAGAUAAUUUUUAGAGAAAAAAUUAUUUAAAUUUAAUAAAUUAAAUUAUAUUAGAUCAAGGUGCAGCCGAUAAACAAGAAGAAAUGGGUUACAAUAAAUUUAUUUAAUAACGGAAUUAUAUUUUGAAAGGGUUUAGGAAGGAGGAUUUAAUUGUAUAAAAUUUUUAAUAUGUAUUUUAGAAAUUA